UGAUAACUAUGAUGAUUAAACUAUGAUGAUUAACUAUAACAAUCAGUAUCAGCAAAAACCGUGCUCAAACUUCCGGCAGUUCAUCUGUUCUUAAAAUAAGAGUGAGCAAGUGUUUUCCAGCAGUUCGAGAUCACAGAACAUGGACAGUAAGGAACCAAAGACCAAAAAGUGAGGGAAGAAAUUGGAUUCAGACGAGAUGCCACAGGAAUUCAGAUGAGAGUACAGGUGGUGAGUGUCGAACUAUCUAAUUCAGCGCAUUGAAAAAUCUUAUUAGGAAUAAUAAAAGAGAACCUUAGCAAAGCAGACAUCUACAUGGAAUCACAGCAGCAACAAUACUAUUCGUCCAAACUUGGAAAACAAAGGAAAUUCCAAAUGACAAUGCUAUAAUAAAG
rnacentral:lncRNA from 1 species